rnacentral:rRNA from 1 species
UACAGAGGGUGCAAGCGUUAAUCGGAAUUACUGGGCGUAAAGCGCAUGUUGGUGGUUUGGCAAGUUGGAUGUGAAAGCCCUGGGCUUAACCUGGGAACUGCAUUCAAAACUAUCAAGCUAGAGUAGAGUAGAGGGAAGUGGAAUUUCCGGUGUAGCGGUGAAAUGCGUAGAUAUCGGAAGGAACACCAGUGGCGAAGGCGGCUUCCUGGACUCAUACUGACACUGAGGUGCGAAAGCGUGGGGAGCAAACAGG